UCAGGAGCAAUCAUUCCUGGAGCUAAAUCACAAGAGCCCUAGACAGGCCGGAGCCGACAAAAAUGGGAGCCUCCCUCUGAUCCCAACCCUGGGUGUCAGCUGUGGGCCUGCCAGGCUGUUCCCGGCCGCUUGUGAUCACAACACGCCCCGCUGCUCUGCUGAUGGGAACAGAGGUUGGCAAGGAGGACAGAGAAUCCGCAGGAGACGUCGUCUGCAAGAUCACAUCGGUUUUCAUCCAUUGAUGUAAGAGUGAAACUCUAACAGUAUAUUCUUCAAGAGAGCUAGACAGCUUCAGAAAUUCAUCAGUCCUUAAAGAAAAAAAAACAUAUUUCUCUUUAUUUCUGUAAAGGCAAUAUUCAUGUUCUGCCAUUUUCUGUAAUAUAUCCAAAUUCUGAA